rnacentral:rRNA from 1 species
GCCCAUAAGACUGGGAUAACUCCGGGAAACCGGGGCUAAUACCGGAUAACAUUUUGAACUGCAUGGUUCGAAAUUGAAAGGCGGCUUCGGCUGUCAUUUAUGGAUGGACCCGCGUCGCAUUAGCUAGUUGGUGAGGUAACGGCUCACCAAGGCAACGAUGCGUAGCCGACCUGAGAGGGUGAUCGGCCACACUGGGACUGAGACACGGCCCAGACUCCUACGGGAGGCAGCAGUAGGGAAUCUUCCGCAAUGGACGAAAGUCUGACGGAGCAACGCCGCGUGAGUGAUGAAGGCUUUCGGGUCGUAAAACUCUGUUGUUAGGGAAGAACAAGUGCUAGUUGAAUAAGCUGGCACCUUGACGGUACCUAACCAGAAAGCCAUGGCUAACUACGUGCCAGCAGCCGCGGUAAUACGUAGGUGGCAAGCGUUAUCCGGAAUUAUUGGGCGUAAAGCGCGCGCAGGUGGUUUCUUAAGUCUGAUGUGAAAGCCCACGGCUCAACCGUGGAGGGUCAUUGGAAACUGGGAGACUUGAGUGCAGAAAGAGGGAAAGUGGGAAUUCCAUGUGUAGCGGUGAAAUGCGUAGAGAUAUGGAGGAACACC